AUGAAGUGUGCCAUGAACAUGCACUCUAGGUCUUCACCCCUUUCCUUCACCUUCUGUGGUAGCACGUGUUCCCUCCUCCUCCAUCAGCACGCCACCUGCUCCAAUACCAUUUUGCCACCUUCCCCCCUCAACUGUCUCUCCCUGUCCUGGAAGCGAACCGUUGUGGUUGUACUGGGCCUCUGGAUCGUUACAUCCUGCUAACUGUUGAUGAAGUUGGAAGUCACCCUUGGAAAGGAAAAGACUUUCUUCCAUGGGGGUUUGAAGCUGAACAUGACGGUCCUCAGGCUCAGGGGACUCGUGUUGCAGUUUGCUAAGGAAGAAGCUGGAAAGUAUUUACUUGCCUCUGGUUAUUCUUGUGUCUCCUCAAUGCUGCUUCCUGGCCUGGGGAAUGUGAAUGCCCUUCUGUAGCUGUAGACAGACCUUGUGUUAAGCUGACAAGGCCGGUAGAGCCUGAAUAUAGGGACAGUGUUUUGUACUCCAAUCUCGUUCCAUACUUCGUGAGUAUCAGAUCAGGAGAUUUGGAAAUGAUCCAGCUCCUGUGCCAUUGUAGGGGAAGACUGGGUGUGCAAAGAGCUCUCUGGUUGUGGUGGGCUGUGUUGGAUGGAGCACUGUUCUCAUACUGAUCAAGCAUCAGCUCAGCUCCCCUUCUUUUCAGAAGAAGGGGACUUUGGAGGAAACCCCACGGGUGGAAUAUGGCCAAAUUCUCAGCCUGUAACAUAUUUGAUAGCACUGCAUGGUGGCGAGGCUGGU
rnacentral:lncRNA from 1 species